UCUUCGAGGACUUUUGCAGGAAACGUUUGCCAGGCGGUAAGGGCGGAGGACCCAAGCAACUGGUGACGGCUGUGAUCGCCAUUUAUGAUUUAUAUAACGGCACUAAUUAUGCAACCGAUGCCUUUUUAGAAUUUGCAUUUUAAUCACCUGUGCAAAUCCCGUCACGCCUAUAUUAAGCGUGAUUAAAUGAAAACCGUAAUUAAAACGCUGGGAGUGUCGCCAGGCUACUUUAAACGACCUGUAACUUCCUGAGAGGUAGCCAAUUUAAUAUUCUAAAGUGUAACGUCUCAAGAAAUACUGACGUUUCCCUAUUCAAUUAUGGUACCAGAGUUAUCCGGCCUAGGUUAAACGAACUCUGUCACCGUUAAGAUACGUGUGAAAUAAUACGAAGGAAACGGCUGAGAUAACCGGAUAAGACUGUCAGAAACGUAGAGCGUUGGAUAGAGAUUCGAGUUGGCGACACCCAAAGAGUCGUUGGUGUGGCGAAUGCAAAGAGGCGAGGUCGAAGGUGGGUGGACAAGUUUCCGGAGAACGGCAUAGGCCGUCCCCCGGGUAAUGCUUCCACGCGCGUAGGUUUCCAAAAACGCGACACGUGAAACAACUUUCCACGUGGAAACGAUGAAAGGACUCGAUCGGAGAAAUCUCCGCGGAGAUUCGAAUUAUUAAUAUGAAGAAUCUGAUUUUAAACAUCCACAUUGAAAAAUUUAUACAUUAGAGGAUUUGGUGAUUUACAAUUAGUAAUGUAGAACUUAUGAUCCAUACUUAUGGUCCAUACUUGAAAAGUAAGUCACAACAAAAGUUUGAACGUUACAAUUAUACAGUGUCCCAUAUUUGAUGACACAACUGGCAUAUAACGCUUUCCUCCUUGAAAAAAAUAAGGCAAAAAUUAAAUUAUUCCUAACUACAUCAACUAAAGUUAAUCCUUAACCAAAACCACUUUCAAGCUUUUAAUCUUAACAAGUUUGUAUUAAAUUUUAGUUUAUAAAAUCAUUCAAUGACUAGUUACAAAUUAUAUGAAAGAAAA